UGUGGGCGAGUUGCAGCCCACAAUCCGAACUAAGGAUGGGUUUAGGAGAUUGCCUUCACCUUUCGGUGUCGAUACCCAUUGUCCCACCCAUUGUAGCCCGCGUGUAGCCCGGACAAUUCGGGGCAUGCUGACCUACCGUUGCCCAUUCCUUCCUCCUCUUUAGCAGAGGCGGUCCCAACAGUGUCCUCUCCAUCCCGGAGGACGAGCUAGCAACUGUUGGCGUGGGUCUCGCUCGUUGCCUGACUUAACAGGAUGCUUCACAGUACGAACUGACGACGGCCAUGCACCUCCUCUCAGCUAGUCAAGUAGAGUCUUCAGCCCGACUAUCAUUCAGCUGUCUUGUCCGGUGAGUUUCCCGGCGUUGAGUCCGAUUAAACCGCAGGCUCCACCCGUUGUGGUGCUCCCCCGCCAAUUCCUUUAA
rnacentral:rRNA from 1 species